rnacentral:piRNA from 1 species
UGUUAGGUAAUCAAAUUGCCAUUGUACAUAC